UACAGAGGGGGCAAGCGUUGUUCGGAAUUACUGGGCGUAAAGGGCGCGUAGGCGGCCCGCUAAGUCGAACGUGAAAUCCCCGAGCUCAACUCGGGGAACUGCGUCCGAUACUGGCGGGCUUGAAUCCGGGAGAGGGAUGCGGAAUUCCAGGUGUAGCGGUGAAAUGACGUAGAUAUCAGGAGGAACACCCAUGGCGAAGGCAGCUAACUGGGCAUUAUCUGACGCUGAGGCGCGAAAGCGUGGGUAGCAAACAGG
rnacentral:rRNA from 1 species